GAUGAACGCUGGCGGCGUGCCUAAUACAUGCAAGUCGAGCGAACAGAUAAGGAGCUUGCUCCUUUGACGUUAGCGGCGGACGGGUGAGUAACACGUGGGUAACCUACCUAUAAGACUGGAAUAACUCCGGGAAACCGGGGCUAAUGCAGGAUAACAUGUUGAACCGCAUGGUUCUACAGUGAAAGGCGGCUUUGCUGUCACUUAUAGAUGGACCCGCGCCGUAUUAGCUAGUUGGUGAGGUAACGGCUCACCAAGGCAACGAUACGUAGCCGACCUGAGAGGGUGAUCGGCCACACUGGAACUGAGACACGGUCCAGACUCCUACGGGAGGCAGCAGUAGGGAAUCUUCCGCAAUGGGCGAAAGCCUGAAGGAGCAACGCCGCGUGAGUGAUGAAGGUCUUCGGAUCGUAAAACUCUGUUAUUAGGGAAGAACAAAUGCGUAAGUAACUGUGCGCGUCUUGACGGUACCUAAUCAGAAAGCCACGGCUAACUACGUG
rnacentral:rRNA from 1 species